rnacentral:tRNA from 1 species
AGCUUUAUAGUCAAUAAUGAUAUAAAAUUGCAAAUUUUAAGGGGUAAGAUUAAAUACUAAGGCUU